AUGUAGCAGUAACAGGGGCAGGUGAUGAACUUUUCCUCACAGAUGAGGAUGAGGAUGAUGUAGCAGUAACAGGGGCAGGUGAUGAACUUUUCCUCACAGAUGAGGAUGAGGAUGAUGUAGCAGUAACAGGGGCAGGUGAUGAACUUUUCCUCACAGGUGAGGAUGAGGAUGAUGUAGCAGUCACAGGGGCAGGUGAUGAACUUUUCCUCACAGAUGAGGAUGAGGAUGAUGUAGCAGUCACAGGGGCAGGUGAUGAACUUUUCCUCACAGGUGAGGAUGAGGAUGAUGUAGCAGUCACAGGAGCAGGUGAUGAACGCUGCACAGAAGACCAAAGACACAAAAAGAAAUACCACAGAUGUAAACAAAAAGUAAAUAUAAAUGCUUGCUUAAUUCAAAGUGCAUUGAUUUAGUUUAAGGGCAAGACAAAUGCAUUUGGAACAAAUAAUGUUUAAAACACAAAAGGG
ensembl:lncRNA